rnacentral:lncRNA from 1 species
CCCUUGCUCGCUGCUGCUGCCACGUAAGAAGUGUGUUGCUUCCCCUUCGUCUUCCACCAUGAAUAACAGAAUGGCAAUUUUCGUGUGGUGUUAAUUUCCGUGGAAGAAGAAAAGGCUCGACUCUCUGUCCUAUUUUUCAUGAAUACUGGAAGUAGGGAAUAAACCUGGAGUCUCACGGGUGAAAAGAGACAUUUCCAUAUCACCAGACCACAAACGUGGAUGGAGUUUCACUCUUAUGGCCCAGGCUGGAGUGCAAUGGCGUGAUCUCAGCUCACCACAACCUCUGCCUCCCGGGUUCAAGUGGUUCUCCUACCUCAGCCUCCUGAGUAGCUGCGAUUACAGAUACAUAGCUCUGGCCAAGAAGUGUGGUUUUGAAGAGCCCAAACUGUAUCUGUUACCUGAUUUCAAAGAAUAUUCCACCUAGGAGAGACCCAGGUCCUGCAGACUUCCUCUGGACACUUUUGGCAGUCAUUGUUCCCAGCUGAUUCUGCAACAGAUGAAGGACGGAGGAUAGAAUCAUGAAUAGCAACAUCUUAAUUGCUGACUGGGUGUUGAUUCUAAGGAUACCCCCAAUAAACAUCUUUCGUGCUAAAGCCCAUUCCAGAAUUUACUUCCCAGCUAUCUUUGAUGUUCAUAUUGUCAGAGGUGGUGGCCGCUGAAACAGGCAAAGACAUGGAGCAUAUCUUGGGUCCAGGUAAAGGAGGUGGGUGCACACAAGUGAAAAGAUGUUGCUGAAGUCACGUGGCUUCAAGCAGUAGAGCUGACUGUCCUCUAGUCCAGUUGUCCCUACAGGAUAAAAGCUUCUCUCCAUUACAGAGACCUUGGGAGUCCAGAGGAAGGUCUUUUUACCAUCAGCAUUCUCUACUGUGUUCAAUGACUGUCAGCCAAAGAUGGCCAGCUUUCCUUCAGAAAGAAAUGCAUUCAAAGAACCUACAUUCACAACAUAAAGAAAUAAAGCACACACAAGACCGCCAAGCAUUAAGAUUCUCCUGUGGAGCCAGGCUACAAUCCUUUAAAUGAAGACAGACAGCUAGGUGGCUGCAGCCCAGCGCUACACCUCACCCCUCCCUCAGUGUCAUGCAGAAAAAAUGUAUUCAGAACUCAGAAGUGAAGUUGUGCAAAUCCAUCAUUGACACUAGCUUCAAGGUUACCUCGGGGGAGCAGAAUGUACCCCUGCCAGAGAGCUGGAUAGAUGAUGAUGGGGACAGAAAUUCUGGGGGAGUUGUAAAUGGCAGCCACUGCCUCUAUAGGAAACCCAAAGGGAACACAGCAGAAGAGGAGGUGGUGGAGGAGCCACUGCCCUCUCGAAGGGUUCAAUGUCAUUCUGCAGACACAACCAAAUAACUUUUUCUUCCCUGCUGCUCCUCCAUUUGAAAUGACAGCCCCGAGCUCGCUUUUUCCUUGAUUGUGUAACUCUGAUUACAGACAAGGCCAAGGCAAUCCCAGGGCAUUACUACAAAGCUAAGGGGUCCCCAAAGAACUAAAGAGUCAGCUCCACAAAAAUCCCGAUUCCUAGCAUGAAACUGAAAUAUGAAACCAAACGGGCAUAGAAAAGGUAUGUGCAUUCGAAUCACAUAGCAGUGACUGGAGUCCUGAGCUGUGUCUGAAGACUGUGAGAUCACGUUUGGAGCUGCUGAUUGGUUUUCAGUGAUGGCCCUGUUGCACAGUGCCGUGAGACUUAGCUCCAUGGCCAAAGACGAUGGUAUCCCCUAGGAGCCCUGUGAGGUUGCUGCUGUUCUCUUAAGACACCAGGUAGCCAUCUGAUCCUCCCUGAGCAAACUAACUGGGCAGACAGGUUUAUUAAACCUCUGUUGGUCCGACUUACAUGAAACAAGAGAGUUAUUUUGUUGUUGUUGUUUUGUUUUGUUUUAAAUUAAACCUGUCUUUGGAGCCUCCUGCUCUUAGUUUACAAGUCUUCUUUGCACACUCUAAUAUUUUAAGAAGCAGCAAACAUUAACUGAGGGUCUA